AUUGAACGCUGGCGGCAUGCUUUACACAUGCAAGUCGAACGGCAGCGCGGGCUUUGUUCUUGUGGCGUGUGGCGUACGGGUGAGUAAUACAUUGGCACGUGCCCAGUAGUGGGGGAUAGCUCGGCGAACGCCGGAUUAAUACCGCAUACGCCCUGUGGGCGAUAGCGGUGGAUCUUCGGCCCUCGCGCUAUUGGAGCGGCCGAUGGCAGAUUCGCUCGUUGGUGGGGUAAAUGCCUACCAAGGCGACGAACUGUAGCUGGUCUGAGAGGACGACCAGCCACACGGGGACUGAGACACGGCCCAGACUCCGACGGGAGGCAGCAGUGGGGAAUUUUGGACAAUGGGCGAAAGCCUGAUCCAGCAAUGCCGCGUGUGUGAUGAAGGCCUUCGGGUUGUAAAGCACUUUUGGCGGGAACGAAAAGGACUGUGCCAAUACCACGGUUCGAUGACGGUACCCGCAGAAUAAGCACCGGCUAACUACGUG
rnacentral:rRNA from 1 species